GCCUGGCUGGCUCAGUCGGUGAAGCAUGUGACCUUUGAUCUCGGGGUCGUGAGUUUGAGCCCCACGUCGGGUA
rnacentral:tRNA from 1 species